UUGAUCGUCCCCCCCCCCCUCCCGACCCUUCCACUUCGUCGUCAUCGUUUCAACUCUUCUAUGAAUCACCGUUACUCAAAACCUAUUACGUAUCCCCAGGUGUGUGUCUGGGUCUUUUUUAUCUAUUCAUCUUAUUAGUUUAUAAGAUUUCAGACAUGAUCUUGAAAUUCAUCGAUUUAUGUUACAUGUUUCGUAUCAUAGAUUUAUACUUCAUUAUGAACUCAGGCAACAACAUUCUGGUGGGUUGGUUUUAUAUGAUUAGUGUAAUAAUAUUUGGUUUGUAACAAAAUUAGAUUUUAAAAAAUGAUUGGUUGAUAUAUGAAGGUGAUGUGUGAUGCUUACACGCCGGCUGGGAAUCCAAUUCCAACCAACAAGAAGCACAACGCUGCUAAGAUCUUCAGCAACUCCAAAGUUGCCUCUGAGGAGCCUUGGUAUGGGAUUGAGGAAGAAUACACAUUAAUGCAAAAGGGUGUGAACUGGCCUAUUGGUGGCUUCCCUGGCCCUCAGCUUAAUCUAAUUAUCAUCUCAUCCUAAUGUUAUUACAACAUUUUCUUACAUAUCAUCUGAUGUAAAGUGUUUUUGGUGUUUGGCACAGGGACCAUACUACUGUGGUGUGGGAGCUGACAAAGCAAUUGGUCGUGACAUCAUGGAUGCACACUACAAGGCCUGUCUUUACGCAGGUAUUGGCAUCUCUGGUGUCAAUGGAGAAUUCAUGCCUGGACAGUGGGAGUUCCAAGUCGGUCCAGUUGAGGGUAUUAGUGCUGGUGAUCAAGUCUGGGUCGCUAGAUACCUUCUCGGGAGGAUCACUGAGAUCUCUGGUGUAAAUGUCAGCUUCGACCCAAAACCAGUCCCGG